rnacentral:rRNA from 1 species
AGCAGCCGCGGUAAUUCCAGCUCCAAUAGCGUAUAUUAAAGUUGUUGCAGUUAAAAAGCUCGUAGUUGAAUUUCGGGAUUAGUACGUUGGUCGUGCCUUCGGUACGUACUGGUGUUACUGGUUCCUACCUUCUGACGAACCAUCAUGUCAUUAAUUUGGUGUGGCGGGGAAUCAGGACUGUUACUUUGAAAAAAUUAGAGUGUUUAAAGCAGGCUCGCGCUUGAAUACAUUAUCAUGGAAUAAUGAAAUAGGACGUUGACCCUAUUUUGUUGGUUUCUAGGAUUGACGUAAUGAUUAAUAGGGAUAGUUGGGGGCAUUAGUAUUCAAUUGUCAGAGGUGAAAUUCUUGGAUUUAUUGAAGACUAACUACUGCGAAAGCAUUUGCCAAGGAUGUUUUCAUUAAUCAAGAACGAAAGUUAGGGGAUCGAAGACGAUCAGAUACCGUCGUAGUCUUAACCAUAAACUAUGCCGACUAGGGAUCGGAUGAUGUUAUUUUUAAUGACUCA